UAGGGAAUCUUCCGCAAUGGACGCAAGUCUGACGGAGCAACGCCGCGUGAGUGAAGAAGGAUUUCGGUUCGUAAAACUCUGUUGUUAGAGAAGAACAGCGCAUAGAGUAACUGUUAUGCGUGUGACGGUAUCUAACCAGAAAGCCACGGCUAACUACGUGCCAGCAGCCGCGGUAAUACGUAGGUGGCAAGCGUUGUCCGGAUUUAUUGGGCGUAAAGCGAGCGCAGGCGGUCAAUUAAGUCUGAUGUGAAAGCCCCCGGCUCAACCGGGGGGGGUCAUUGGAAACUGGUUGACUUGAGUGCAGAAGGGAAGAGUGGAAUUCCAUGUGUAGCGGUGAAAUGUGUAGGUAUAUGGAGGAACACCAGUGGCGAAGGCGACUCUCUGGUCUGUAUCCGACGCUGAGGCUAGAAAGCGUGGGUAGCAAACAAG
rnacentral:rRNA from 1 species